AUUUUUGGGACUGACUCUUUAUUUUUUUAGGAGAACUGGAAGUUUGUGGUUCAUUUUAUGGCAGCAGUUUUUAAUUUUUUUUCCCAGGGAAAGUCUCUCCCUGAGUAAGAGAGAUGCAAGUGUGUUUCAGUGAUGGAAGUGGCUGGAUAUUGAUGAAGUAGCUGGAGCCUCAUUAGUCUCAUGGUGAUACUGAUAACUGCACUUACUGGCAAGAGAUGCAGAGCCAGCCCUAAUUCUGCAGGAAAUCCAGCUGCGUCGUUCAUGCUUCCCCUUAAAGAAGAUAUUUCUCCAGUUCAGGAUGCCAGCUGCAAGGAGCCGCACGGAGAAUGACAAUGGCCUAUGCAAAUACAAUGCACCAGCUAUAAAAGCCGCUCCAGAGCCCCCGCCCUUGCUGAGCCAGAGCUGUUGGUGGUGUGGAAUGCGGCAGGCAGCAAGGCCUGAUCCCAGAAUGUGCCGGGUGGCUGAAGCUCCAUUUGCAGCAACUGGAGGGGUGGUGUCAGCACUGCAAAGCGAUUUCGCGAACGUUACCACUGGGGGAUUGCAUGUUGAACUGGCCUCCAUUGCAGCUGACAGGCUCAAUAAAUUCACCAAGAUCAAGAAGAACACAGGUGACAGACUGUAUUUGCAAUACGCAUGUUCUUCUCUCAUUGUGUUCCAGAAAGAAAGGAAUGUGAAUCCCCAGUGCUAUCAACCACCACAUUUUUAUUGUAAGCCUUACAAAACCUGAUGCUAAAGCCUGAGCUCUCAGGUCAUGCAAUUAUGUGAGCCUCUGCUUUCAUUUUUUAAAAUGUCAGUUUCUAAUCUCUCUACCUGUGGAGAAAGACCUGGAAGCACAAACAUGUGCAGACUGAAAGCCAACUAAUUAUUGAUUUUUUUUUUUUGUUAUGCCUUGA